rnacentral:rRNA from 1 species
GACGAACGCUGGCGGCGUGCCUAAUACAUGCAAGUCGAGCGAAGUUUUUCUGGUGCUUGCACUAGAACAACUUAGCGGCGAGCGGGUGAGUAACACGUAAAGAACCUGCCUCAUAGACUGAGCCAACUAUUGGAAACGAUAGCUAAUACCGGAUAACAGUAUUUCUCGCAUGAGAGAUAUUUAAAAGUUGGUUAUGCUAACACUAUGAGAUGGCUUUGCGGUGCAUUAGCUAGUUGGUGGGGUAAAGGCCCACCAAGUCGACGAUGCAUAGCCGACCUGAGAGGCGGAUCGGCCACACUGGGACUGAGACACGGCCCAGACUCCUACGGGAGGCAGCAGUAGGGAAUCUGCCGCAAUGGGCGAAAGCCUGACGGAGCAACGCCGCGUGAGUGAAGAAGGAUUUCGGUUCGUAAAGCCCUGUUGUUAGGGAAGAAUGGAUUUGGAGUAACUAUACGUGUAAGAGACGGUACCUAACCAGAAAGCAACGGCUAACUACGUG